AUGCUCCUCCUCUACUGCCGCCCCUUCCCCUCUCCCUGCCCUCCACUCCGCCGCCUCCUACGAUGCCGCUGCACCUGUUCUUCCGCCUCCUCCCCCAUUGUUCCGUACCACCAAUCCUUCGCCCGUCGCAUGGCCCUCGCAGGCAUCCACCCCCACCACCGCAUUGCGGUUGGGGUCUCGGGUGGGCCGGACUCUAUGGCGCUGUGCGUGCUGACGGCGGCUUGGAAGAAGGCGGCGAAGGGCGGGUCCGGGGGAUUCGUGGAGGGGCUCCUGGGGGUCGUGGUCGACCACGGGCUGCGGCUCGAGAGCGCCGACGAGGCGCAGCUAGUGCGCGACCGGGUGCACGGCAUGGGUGUUAUAUGCGAGAUUGCCAGAUGUGAGUGGCCUAAUGGGCGGCCAAAGCUAGGGCAUCUGCAAGAGGCAGCCCGCGAAAUGAGGUACCAAAAACUGUUGGACAUUUGUAUAAAGCAGCAAAUAGGAGUGUUGCUUAUUGCACACCACUCUGAUGACCAGGCAGAGCUCUUUGUUCUGAGAUUAUCUCGCAACAGCAGGGUUCUAGGUCUUGCUGGUACAGCCUUUGUGUCCCAAUUGUUUGCACCUAAUUUAAAAUAUGAUGGACAUAAUUUUUGUCGUUAUGGCAUCCUUCUUGUUCGGCCCAUGCUUGACUUUUCAAAAGAUGACAUGUAUAAGAUAUGUCAAGGAAGUAAUCAUUUGUGGGUUGAAGAUCCAACAAAUAAUAGUAUGCAGUAUGCCAGGAACCGCAUUCGAGCAUCUUUGAGAUGUUUAUCCACAGAAGGUACCUUUCAGUCAGAACUUCAGAAACUGAUAUACGCAUGCCGGUUGACACGAGCGUGUGUUGACAAUGCCUGCAGUAUGGCUGUCAAGCAGUCUAUCACAAUAACGGAGUAUGGGUAUGCUGUCAUUGACCUAGAAAAACUUGAUGCGCAAAAUGUUGAUGAUCUUUCUCUUUCACAAUAUUUAGCUUGUGUAUUACAGUUUGUUUCACAGAGGCACAGGCCAAUCCGUGGCAGAUCUGCUCAAUUGUUCAUGGACUACAUCCGUAAUACACCUUGCAAGGGUGCCCUUACUGUAGCUGGUUGUUACCUUUGUGCUUUUCCGAAGUCUAAAGGUACAAAAGUACUAGUCUGUUCCUCUGUUGACUCGAUGGAGUCAUUUUCUGUUGAGAUGUCCUACAAGUGUUCCUAUGAAGAACAGCCUUCACCAGUACCUGAGAUUGAUCAGAUAGCACGUGAAGCACGCGUACACUCCAACGAAUUUCUACAGUGCUCAAGCAUACCUUUUGUGAAUUAUAGUUCUUCUACUGAUGUUCUGAAUAGAGCAAAGGAUCACAAUAUAAUAGGUGAUUUUGUGUUAGAAAAACUCCUUUACCUGCAGACAGAAGAGCAUCAGAAAUUUUGUGCAACAAAACAUAAAAAUGAAGAACAAUACUUGGAGAAAACAAACUUUCCUGAUGUGAAAGUUCUUUUUCUCUGGCCUGGUGAAACAUGUCACUUUAUGAGCAAGUUCUUGAUUACAUGGAAUGCUUUGGAGGUUGUUCCAAAUGGAAUAUGCUCACAAGACAGUAAAAACCUCCUAUGCCAGCAUUGUGCAGUGAAUCAGGACGGAAGUCUUGCAGUUCGUCACAUGUUUGAUACCGAUUGGUUGUUCCUUGCUGAAGUUUCUAAAAUCCGCUCAAUGGAAGAGAAUCAGAAUGUCUCAAAAGUUUCCAAUAAUAAAUUGGAGGAUGAUGUACUCCUGAAGCACUCUAGAUAUUUACAGUUAUCAGCAAUGAAAGCUCUUGAGGUCCUGAAAUCUAUUCCAGCUUCUGCAAGACGAACACUGCCAGUACUGACCAAUUCUCAAGGUGACGUACUGAGCAUACCAAGUAUUGGCUUCCAGUGUUGCCCAAGCCUGUCAAUCAAAGCAUUAUUCCAUCCAAGAGUGCCACUUGGUGGGGGAUACACUUCAUAUUUAUGA
rnacentral:rRNA from 1 species